rnacentral:rRNA from 1 species
UAACGAAUAUUGGGCAAUGGGCGCAAGCCUGACCCAGCAAUGCCGCGUGCAGGAGGAAGUCCUUCGGGAUGUAAACUGCUGUCAGGGGUCAACAAGCAAAGGGACCUAAUACGUCCUGGCGUUGAGUCGCCCCAGAGGAAGCCUCGACUAACUCUGUGCCAGCAGUCGCGGUAAGACAGAGGAGGCGAGCGUUGUUCGGAAUCACUGGGCUUAAAGCGCGUGUAGGCGGCCUGGUAAGUGUCGUGUGAAAUCCCAUGGCUCAACCAUGGAACUGCACGGCAAACUGCCUGGCUUGAGGUCGGUAGAGGUGCCUGGAACUCUAGGUGGAGCGGUGAAAUGCGUAGAUAUCUAGAGGAACGCCAGAAGCGAAAGCGGGGCACUGGGCCGAUUCUGACGCUGAGACGCGAAAGCGUGGGGAGCAAACA